rnacentral:rRNA from 1 species
CGACGCCUACGGGAGGCAGCAGUGGGGAAUAUUGGGCAAUGGGCGCAAGCCUGACCCAGCAACGCCGCGUGAAGGAAGAAGGCUUUCGGGUUGUAAACUUCUUUUCUUGGGGACGAAGAAAGUGACGGUACCCAAGGAAUAAGCCACGGCUAACUACGUGCCAGCAGCCGCGGUAAUACGGAGGAUGCGAGCGUUAUCCGGAUUUAUUGGGUUUAAAGGGUGCGCAGGCGGCGAGUUAAGUCAGCGGUAAAAUUUCGGGGCUCAACCCCGACGAGCCGUUGAAACUGGCUUGCUAGAGUGGGCGG